rnacentral:rRNA from 1 species
AGUGAACGCUGGCGGUAGGCCUAGCACAUGCAAGUCGAACGGCAGCACAGUAAGAGCUUGCUCUUACGGGUGGCGAGUGGCGGACGGGUGAGGAAUACAUCGGAAUCUACUUUUUCGUGGGGAUAACGUAGGGAAACUUACGCUAAUACCGCAUACGACCUACGGGUGAAAGCAGGGGAUCUUCGGACCUUGCGCGAUUGAAUGAGCCGAUGUCGGAUUAGCUAGUUGGCGGGGUAAAGGCCCACCAAGGCGACGAUCCGUAGCUGGUCUGAGAGGAUGAUCAGCCACACUGGAACUGAGACACGGUCCAGACUCCUACGGGAGGCAGCAGUGGGGAAUAUUGGACAAUGGGCGCAAGCCUGAUCCAGCCAUACCGCGUGGGUGAAGAAGGCCUUCGGGUUGUAAAGCCCUUUUGUUGGGAAAGAAAAGCAGCAGGUUAAUACCCCGCUGUUCUGACGGUACCCAAAGAAUAAGCACCGGCUAACUUCGUG